UGUUCGCCGUCCUUGUAACUAUCGCGGUUCUGGCGCCGAUGGCCCUGGCAGGUCGUGACGCCGCGCCCGUGGUCAAGGUGGCGGAAGGGCGUGUGUCGGGCGUGACGGAGACCUCCACGAAGGGCAGGGACUUCCACUCCUACUACGGCGUCCCCUUCGCCAAGCCUCCUGUGGGAAGACUAAGGCUUAAGGACCCGGUGAAGGCAGAGGGGUGGGGGGGCGUGAGGGACGGAUCCAGGGCGCCCUCGCCUUGCCUCCUCGUGCCCUUGGCUUAUGCUGCCAUGGGCGUGACUUUGGCUCCGGAAGACCUGCAUGGGAGCGAGGACUGCUUGUACCUCAACGUUUUCACGCCGAAGAUGGAAACCUCAGAGAACCUCCCUGUGAUGGUGUGGAUCCACGGGGGAGCUUACCUGGCGGGGGGCGCUCGCGAGUACUUGCCUCACGUCCUCCUGAACCACGACAUUGUGCUCGUCGUGUUGCAAUAUCGAGUCGGUAUCAUGGGAUUCCUGUCCACAGAGGAUGAGGUGAUUCCAGGGAACUUUGGGCUGAAGGACCAGACCCUCGCCCUCCGCUGGGUGCAGGACAACAUCCACAACUUCGGAGGAGACGCCAAUAGGGUCACCAUCUUCGGCGAGAGUGCUGGGGGCGCCUCUGUCCAUUAUCAUAUAUUGUCACCCAAAUCUAAAGGUCUCUUCUCUCGUGCCAUCAUGCAGUCAGGGUCGGCCUUAGCGCCAUGGGCACACCACGAGCAACACAGACAUAUGGCAGAGGAAGUUAGCAAAGCUGUUGGCUGCUCCAAAGCCUUCGGUCGCAAGGAUAUUCUUGACUGUCUCCAGAAGGUAGAUGGUCGCAGGCUGGCCGCAAGGUUCCAAGAUUUCAUGGAAUGGUUCAUCUUGCCAACGGUUGCUUUGCCUCUUGUUGAUGGGGACUUUAUACCGGAUCACCCCGCGCGUUUGAUGCGUGACGGAGACUUCAACCAAGUGGAGCUCAUGGCUGGAAUCACAAAAGACGAAGGAGCUCUAGUAACAAAUCCAAUGCUAGCCCGAAAGGACCUCUUCCCUGCCUUACAAAACAACUUUUCCGUCUUCGGCCCAGUUAGCCUCAUGGUCGGGCCUGAAGUCGAAGAUGCUGUUGCCUUCAGCACCAAGGUCUACCAACACUACCUUGGCAACUCAACUAUCGAUCAUGACCACAUAAAAGAGCUCACCAAGAUGAACACAGACUACAGUUUUGCCGUACCACAUGACCUGGCAACCCUCUACCACGCUCGGGUUCCAGGUCUUGCUACUUACCGCUACGAGCUCAAGCACCGAUCCCAGCUGUCCAUGGGAGAUUUCUUCAACACAGACAUAGGGCGUCACUGGAUUCCUCACGGGGACGACCUGUACUACCUGUUCGCCGGCGGGCCGCUCCUCAGCCCCGGCCGCCUGCCCGACCGCCUGCCUGACCUGCAGAGCCAAGAGGACCUGCGCCUCAGGGACAUCAUCACGACCACGUGGACGAACUUCGCUGCCACGGGCAACCCCACCCCCGACGACGCCCUGGGCUUCAAGUGGGAGGCGGCGACCGAGGACGACCUCCGCUACCUCGCCCUCACGCCCUCGCCCGCCAUGGAGGCCGACCAGCGACAGGAGGUGCGUGGAUUUUAUCCUUCUCUGCCAACGAAGAUGAAUCAAAUAUUCUAUGCUGAUCGUGGCAUCUCCAGGGAAGAACUUUCGCGUCGCUCAUGUCAGGAAGAACUGUGAAUCCAUUAUUAGGUGCCACGUGCAAUGCAUCGUGUCAUUCUGAUUAUUGUAACGCUACGGUGCGUUUCUCAUUUUGCAGUAGUUCGUUUUGUUUCCCGAGGGCCAUGGGGGAGGGGAACUUCCUUUUCUCUGUUUCUUUCUUUCAUUCUCUCUAUCUCGCUCCAUCUAUCUGUAGCUCUCGUUCUCUAUCUGUCUAUCUAUUCAUCAUCUUCAUUCUCUCUCUCUCUCUCUCUCUCUCUCUCU